CAUUCGAGUCUCUGGGCGGUCAUGCUCCCAUCCCGGACGAGCCCCCAAAAAUGAAAGAACAAAUGAAAGAACCCCAAGUUGGGACUCUCGCUCCAGUCUCGGGAUGGCGGCAUACCCCAGGAAGCUCGAGAAGCC
rnacentral:pre_miRNA from 14 species